UUGGGCUGAUCUUAAGCCACUUAGGGCUUGAAAAGUUCACAUCAACAAACUCUUAGCCUCAGGUAGACAGGAAAGGUAUGAAUUUGUCUUACAAUACACUAUAAAUGCGGUAGAAAUCUGCAGUCAGUCACAGAUGUCUGCUUGUUUACCUGUAUGAUAUACAUGCUUGUAAACAUUCACUUGAAAUUUGCUAAAGAAUAUACGGAGUGGCUUUUAUUCAGUGCACAGAUACCAACAAUUUUAAACUUUGCUACAGCUUGUUAUAUGAGCAAUAUCAUGCCCCUAAAAUUCCCUGCUUCAUGAAUAUUCACAGAACGCUCAUGGGAAAAUUCUCUUCAAAUGUACAUGAAAACUGACAUGAAUGCUGUUCAAUUAUAGUAGGCCAAUUGAUGCAACACUUUUGAGCUAUGAUCCAUGCUUUAUAAAUUGCACAGCUGAGUCACACACAGGGCUAAAUCAAUCCAUCCCUAUUACAAUUCACUGUAAUGUGUGAAAGUGGUGCCCCUGUGAUAUGAGAUUGGAUCACAUCCACCACAGACAUUUGGAUCUUGAAUAUUAUCGGUUUGGUAAAAAGUCUAAAAUAUGCCCCAGAAAAUGAUUGAAAGUGGUUUGCAGGAGGACAGAAAAAUGGAGGAUGGGAGGGUUAAACUUUAUUCACUGCUAAUUGUCCUCUACUACAGGAUUUGCCUUAGGAGAAAAACACCGUGUUCUGUUUUUCAUGUGACUUGUAAUCCAGUCUUCCAAGCAUUCCUGAAUUAACAAGGCUGGGUAGCUCUCCAUGGAAGCUACAGGAGAAAUAUAAUGAACAUCUUCGAGGGCUGUGGAAUUAAACUGUCCAUCACCACGACAAUUUCCAGUUACUUUGUUCAAGAAGCAUUAAUGAAAUAAAGGGCAAGGUAUACAUGGUAUGAAGGAAACCAUCAGAAAGUGCCCGGCAGAGUUGCAGUUAACUGGUUGAAAUGGUUUUAGCAACAUGGACAUAUUGCUGCUGUGUACAUAUUGCAGUAUGAUAGAAUUCUGCUCUUAUCUCUUCCUCUUGACUGUACAUACCUGACAACUCAAGAAGAGAAACAUCUGACCUAGAAAGACAUUGACCAAUAUUCAGCCACAAACCUUCAGCUCAACACUUUGAUCUUCAUCCUUGUAUCAGGUGGAUCCUUCA